rnacentral:tRNA from 1 species
GGAGAGAUGGCUCAGUGGUCAAGAGCACUGGCUGCUUUUCCAGAGGACUGGGGUUUGAUUCCCAAUACCACCU